rnacentral:rRNA from 1 species
GACGAACGCUGGCGGCGUGCCUAAUACAUGCAAGUAGAACGCUGAAGAGAGGAGCUUGCUCUUCUUGGAUGAGUUGCGAACGGGUGAGUAACGCGUAGGUAACCUGCCUUGUAGCGGGGGAUAACUAUUGGAAACGAUAGCUAAUACCGCAUAACAAUGGAUGACACAUGUCAUUUAUUUGAAAGGGGCAAUUGCUCCACUACAAGAUGGACCUGCGUUGUAUUAGCUAGUAGGUGAGGUAACGGCUCACCUAGGCGACGAUACAUAGCCGACCUGAGAGGGUGAUCGGCCACACUGGGACUGAGACACGGCCCAGACUCCUACGGGAGGCAGCAGUAGGGAAUCUUCGGCAAUGGGGGCAACCCUGACCGAGCAACGCCGCGUGAGUGAAGAAGGUUUUCGGAUCGUAAAGCUCUGUUGUAAGUCAAGAACGAGUGUGAGAGUGGAAAAUUCACACUGUGACGGUAGCUUACCAGAAAGGGACGGCUAACUACGUGCCAGCAGCCGCGGUAAUACGUAGGUCCCGAGCGUUGUCCGGAUUUAUUGGGCGUAAAGCGAGCGCAGGCGGUUUGAUAAGUCUGAAGUUAAAGGCUGUGGCUCAACCAUAGUUCGCUUUGGAAACUGUCAAACUUGAGUGCAGAAGGGGAGAGUGGAAUUUCAUGUGUAGCGGUGAAAUGCGUAGAUAUAUGGAGGAACACCGGUGGCGAAAGCGGCUCUCUGGUCUGUAACUGACGCUGAGGCUCGAAAGCGUGGGGAGCGAACAGGAUUAGAUACCCUGGUAGUCCACGCCGUAAACGAUGAGUGCUAGGUGUUGGAUCCUUUCCGGGAUUCAGUGCCGCAGCUAACGCAUUAAGCACUCCGCCUGGGGAGUACGACCGCAAGGUUGAAACUCAAAGGAAUUGACGGGGGCCCGCACAAGCGGUGGAGCAUGUGGUUUAAUUCGAAGCAACGCGAAGAACCUUACCAGGUCUUGACAUCCCGAUGCUAUUUCUAGAGAUAGAAAGUUACUUCGGUACAUCGGUGACAGGUGGUGCAUGGUUGUCGUCAGCUCGUGUCGUGAGAUGUUGGGUUAAGUCCCGCAACGAGCGCAACCCCUAUUGUUAGUUGCCAUCAUUCAGUUGGGCACUCUAGCGAGACUGCCGGUAAUAAACCGGAGGAAGGUGGGGAUGACGUCAAAUCAUCAUGCCCCUUAUGACCUGGGCUACACACGUGCUACAAUGGUUGGUACAACGAGUUGCGAGUCGGUGACGGCAAGCUAAUCUCUUAAAGCCAAUCUCAGUUCGGAUUGUAGGCUGCAACUCGCCUACAUGAAGUCGGAAUCGCUAGUAAUCGCGGAUCAGCACGCCGCGGUGAAUACGUUCCCGGGCCU